rnacentral:lncRNA from 1 species
GGAAAUUGAGGAAGACAAUGGCUCACUUGCGUGUAUACGUGCGUGGCACUUGUGAGUAAGAUGAUUUGAAUUUUCGUGAGUCGUAGGAUGGAGAAUGUAUACGUGCGUGGCACUUGUGAGUAAGAUGAUUUGAAUUUUCGUGAGUCGUAGGAUGGAGAAUGGAGAGAGAUGGACAGAGUUACAGCGUGACUUGCCAGAGGGGUCCAUACGUGAUGACGUAGUGGGGAGUUUAUUAUUAGGGAUCUGCUGUGGGUUACAUGAUUUUUUUUGAAAGAAAUUUUUAGUAGAGCUCCAAUAAAUAAUCCGGGAAAGAAUUUUCUUGCCUUACCUACGUUACUCUACUUUAGGCGUCACACAAAUAACUUUUUUUUUCUUCUUCGUCACUG